GCCGCGUGCGGGAUGAAGGCCUUCGGGUUGUAAACCGCUUUCAGCAGGGACGAUUGUGACGGUACCUGCAGAAGAAGCCCCGGCCAACUACGUGCCAUGCAGCCGCGGUAAUACGUAGGGGGCAAGCGUUGUCCGGAUUUAUUGGGCGUAAAGAGCUCGUAUGCGGUUUAGUAAGUCGGGUGUGAAAUCUCNGGGCUCAACUCGGAGACGCCACUCGAUACUGCUAUGACUUGAUUUCGGUAGAGGNAGUGUGGAAUUCCUUGUGUAGCGGUGAAAUGCGCANAUAUCUGUAGGAACACCCGUGGCGAAGGCGGCNCUCUGGGCCGAUACUGACGCUGAGGAGCGAAAGCGUGGGUAGCAAACAGGAUUAGAUACCCUGGUAGUCCACGCCGUAAACAUUGGGUACUAGGUGUGGGNCUCUAUUGACGGGUUCCGCGCCGAAGCUAACGCAUUANUUACCCCGCCUGGGGAGUACGGCCG
rnacentral:rRNA from 1 species